rnacentral:rRNA from 1 species
UACGGAGGGUGCAAGCGUUAUCCGGAUUUAUUGGGUUUAAAGGGUCCGUAGGCGGCUUAAUAAGUCAGUGGUGAAAUCCUAUCGCUUAACGAUAGAACUGCCAUUGAUACUGUUAGGCUUGAAUGAGCGUGCAGUGGUUGGAAUGUGUAGUGUAGCGGUGAAAUGCUUAGAUAUUACACAGAACACCGAUUGCGAAGGCAGAUCACUAACGCUAUAUUGACGCUGAGGGACGAAAGCGUGGGGAGCGAACAGG